rnacentral:tRNA from 1 species
GACACAUAGCUCAGCUGGUUAGAGCGUUCGCCUCACACGCGAGAGGUCGAGGGUUCGAGUCCCCCUGUGUCC